UUCCGUACAGCAGCGGAAGUAUGGGCACUCUUAUGUUCAGGCUGACGCUGGGAGGAAGGCAAAGCCAUUUACAGGGAACUCCUGUCCCCGCCUCCGCCUAGCUCCUCAACUAGUGCUGCACGAGAGUCUUGAUCUCUGCAGAGACAAACCCUGUCUCUGCCCUGCUAAGCUCUAGAGGCUGGUCCCUCCCCCAAGAUCAGCCACCAAUGAGCAGCAUUCUAUUUUCACAGACCCACCCCUACUUCUCAACCUUCUUCCUCCUUUGGGGCGCCAACCCCAAAAUACCACCAUUCCCAAGAUGGAAAAUCAGUUUAUGCUGAUGCUGGUCCUAACAGUGCCGCGGAUCCCCUGUUCACUGGCCUCACUCAGGUGCUUCACAGAAAAUAUUGCCCUUUCUACAAGUCCAUUGGCAUGUGAGAUGUACCAAUCACUGGUGAAAGUCUAGAGCUAAGCAUUCAUGCAUAGCAUUUUGCAAAAAGAGACGGAACUCUACAAGGGAUAAAUCUCUGUCAAGUGAACCAUUCCAGCACCACCUUGAAAAAGACCCUGUUGGUGGAAACAAUCGGUGCGGUGCCCCUAUUAAGGAAAUCGAGUGAAUUUCUGCGGGAGUUGCAGUAUCUCUGACCAGCUGGAUUUGCAGACACAGCAGAUAAUACAGGGUGAUGCCAAAAGGAGUAACGGUGAUGUCACAAUUGCGAUGAUACCUAAGCCAAUGAGGAUCCCCACAACCUGCAUUAAACAACAGAGCAAAUAACAUUAAAAGAAAGUUUAAAUUUGACAGCGAUGUGCUGGCAAUGUUCCAAGAGACCUGGAAUCUUGGCAACAAUAUAGCUUGGAUCCGUUCAGAAUAGCAGCAGUCGAAAUACCGGUGCAGGAAUCCCGACACUACUCUGAAUGCAGAUGCCGGUAUCCCGAACCAGGAUUUGAAGGGCCGUCGGAGAGCCCUAUGGAGCUGCAAGCAGAAAGACGCUAGUUUGAAGCUACCAUAAGUGCGGCAGAUAGCAGCACUUACUAGUGUGGAAAACCGCCUCUUGGCUAAUUGAAUCAACCUCCAAACGUUUUAUAGUUCAAGUGAGAACAAUAAGGUUAUUUAUCUUGAAACAAAUACACCUGCACGUGUUCCUGCUAGGAUGAAAGAUCAUCUGACGAUUAAAGGUAGACUAUUUCACCCAGGGUAAUCCUACGCAGUGUACCCAAGAUGUCUGCCUCACCUGGUGCCUUGUGAGGGUGGAACACACAACCCAUGGAAGUUAUUACCCAAUGGGGGUAAUUCAGAGUUGAUCGCAGCAGCAAAUUUGUUAACAGUUGGGCAAAACCAUGUGCACUGCAGGUGUGGCAGAUAUAACAUGUGCAGAGAGCAUUAGACUUGGGUGGGUUAUUUUGUUUCUGUGCAGGGUAAAUACUGGCUGCUUUAUUUUGACACUGCAAUUUAGAUUUCAGUUUGAACACACCGCACCCAAAUCUAACUCU